AAUUCACAGGUUUUGUUGUAGGUGAUGCUACAUAUGUGCAGAAAAAACGACAUGUUAGUACAUCAGUUGAGGAAAAUCCCUAAAUGACAUCAAUAACAUGCUGUAAUUGGAUUUUGAUGUUCUAUUUAUUACAUCUUCUGAUAGAUUAAAAUGUUACACCAAUGAGAGCAUUUUAAAACUCUGCCAGACUCACACCUAUUGGACUGAUGGACAUCAUUUAUUCAGAAAUGAUAAAUCACGACAAAUAAAGAUAGACGGCUAUGAACAGCAACAUGUAAGUGUAAAAAAACAACAACAUUAUGACUUCUUUGUUUUCAGAUUGUGCUUGUUCUAUUUUUAAACAAAGAAAACAAUCCGAAGUUGUCUUUACUUUUAAGUUAUCAUGACAUCAUUUUAGCAGUCCGGCCCACUUGGGAAUAGGUUUUCCUCCAUGUGGCCCCAGAGCUUAAAUGAGUUUGACACCCCUGCACAAGGAGGUGCAUCUGGGGAUUGCUAUGAUCAACUGUGAUGAUGAACAGUCAGUAUUCCUUCCUAGUGAAGAGAAGAUUCUCAAAGAUGACUGGACAUGCAGUCCAAAAGUGGCUGUGACCUGAUGGAGUCUUCUUGGUCAUGUAUGCCAAGAUGCUAGAUGCAGCAGCAAGUGUGACCGUAAAAUAAGUGGAAAUAGAUUAUGUGUGAACUUGUCAACACUUUCUGUGGAGUCAUAUUGGGCUCCAUCGGGUGUUUGCCAUAGCGUUCAUAGCUGAUAUUCCGACAGGUGACUUCUUCCCGGAAGUAAAAACCAGUGGUGGUCAACAUACUCUAGACUUUAAAUGGACCCCCCUUUUAGACAAGUUGAUCUGACGUCUUUUUUCUGCUCUUCCCUCCUCUCCUGCGUGGAGAGGUUAUUAGGUGACCACAAAUUCAAGGUCGGGACCCAGGUUGUAGUUGGGGACCUCUCUGCGCUGCUGACUUGUCUCCAUUAAAAAUGAUCCCCUGCUGGCCCCACUAUGGACUGGACUCUCACACUAUUAACUAGAUCCACUUGACAUCCAUUGCACCGGUUGCCCGUUUUUUUUCUUGCCCUGAUGUGGGAUCUGAGCCGAGGAUGUCGUUGUGGCUUUUGCAGCCCUUUGAGACACUUGUGAAGCCUCGGGCCUGCGGCGGGACUUGUGGAACCCCAUUCUGGGGUGCCUUUUGGUCAUUCAUUGUGCAGCUCGUGGCGGGACUUGUGGAACUCUAUUCUGGACACUAUUCUACACGACAAAACAAAUGGAAACUUGGAAUAGCAUGGAGGUCUACAACUUCUUUGUGUGUGGCUGCAUCAAGGAAAUUGGUAUCAAGACUCUACGGGAUAAAUUCUGCAUUGUUUUUGCUCGGGUAAGGUUGCAUUUUAGGAUUUAACUUCAUGUCUAGGGAUGUUUGUUGUUGUUGCGCAUGCCGUUUAUUAGUAACGUGUUUUUCACCGUCUUUAUCAAAAUAUAACUAUAGAUGUCAACAUUGUGUAUGUGCUGAAAGUUUCAUUUAAGAUUGCUGCUUUUGGUAAAAGCUUAACUCUUUCGUGUU